rnacentral:rRNA from 1 species
UACAGAGGUCCCAAGCGUUGUUCGGAUUCAUUGGGCGUAAAGGGUGCGUAGGUGGCGCCGUAAGUCGGGUGUGAAAUUUCGGAGCUUAACCCCGAAACUGCAUUCGAUACUGCGGUGCUUGAGGACUGGAGAGGAGACUGGAAUUCAUGGUGUAGCAGUGAAAUGCGUAGAGAUCAUGAGGAAGACCAGUGGCGAAGGCGGGUCUCUGGACAGUUCCUGACACUGAGGCACGAAGGCCAGGGGAGCAAACGGG